CGGAGGGGCAAGCGUUGUUCGGAAUUAUUGGGCGUAAAGGGCGCGUAGGCGGAUCUGUGUGUCUGACGUGAAAUCUCCACCACUUAACGGGGAGAGGUCGUUGGAAACUGCAGAUCUGGAGUUUGUCAGAGGACCAUGGAAUUCCAGGUGUAGCGGUGGAAUGCGUAGAUAUCUGGAAGAACACCGGUGGCGAAGGCGGUGGUCUGGGGCAAAACUGACGCUGAGGCGCGAAAGCCAGGGGAGCAAACGGGAUUAGAUACCCCGGUAGUCCUGGCCGUAAACGUUGGAUACUAGGUGUGGGGGGUAUCGACCCCCUCCGUGCCGAAGUUAACACAUUAAGUAUCCCGCCUGGGAAGUACGGCCGCAAGGUUG
rnacentral:rRNA from 1 species